UACGUAGGGUGCAAGCGUUGUCCGGAUUUAUUGGGCGUAAAGAGCGUGUAGGCGGCUAGGUAGGUCCGUUGUGAAAACUCGAGGCUCAACCUCGAGACGUCGAUGGAAACCAUCUGGCUAGAGUCCGGAAGAGGAGAGUGGAAUUCCACGUGUAGCGGUGAAAUGCGUAGAGAUGUGGAGGAACACCCGUGGCGAAGGCGGCUUUCUGGGACGGUACUGACGCUGAGACGCGAAAGCGUGGGGAGCGAACAGG
rnacentral:rRNA from 1 species